CCUGCCCUUGACUCUGGGAUAAGCCUGGGAAACUGGGUCUAAUACCGGAUAUGACCUUCCAUCGCAUGGUGGUUGGUGGAAAGCUUUUGUGGUUUUGGAUGGACUCGCGGCCUAUCAGCUUGUUGGUGGGGUAAUGGCCUACCAAGGCGAUGACGGGUAGCCGGCCUGAGAGGGUGACCGGCCACACUGGGACUGAGACACGGCCCAGACUCCUACGGGAGGCAGCAGUGGGGAAUAUUGCACAAUGGGCGCAAGCCUGAUGCAGCGACGCCGCGUGAGGGAUGACGGCCUUCGGGUUGUAAACCUCUUUCAGUAGGGAAGAAGCGAAAGUGACGGUACCUGCAGAAGAAGCGCCGGCUAACUACGUGCCAGCAGCCGCGGUAAUACGUAGGGCGCAAGCGUUAUCCGGAAUUAUUGGGCGUAAAGAGCUCGUAGGCGGUUUGUCGCGUCUGCUGUGAAAGACCGGGGCUCAACUCCGGUUCUGCAGUGGGUACGGGCAGACUAGAGUGAUGUAGGGGAGACUGGAAUUCCUGGUGUAGCGGUGAAAUGCGCAGAUAUCAGGAGGAACACCGAUGGCGAAGGCAGGUCUCUGGGCAUUAACUGACGCUGAGGAGCGAAAGCAUGGGGAGCGAACAGGAUUAGAUACCCUGGUAGUCCAUGCCGUAAACGUUGGGCACUAGGUGUGGGGGACAUUCCACGUUUUCCGCGCCGUAGCUAACGCAUUAAGUGCCCCGCCUGGGGAGUACGGCCGCAAGGCUAAAACUCAAAGGAAUUGACGGGGGCCCGCACAAGCGGCGGAGCAUGCGGAUUAAUUCGAUGCAACGCGAAGAACCUUACCAAGGCUUGACAUGGACUGGACCGCUCUGGAAACAGGGCUUCCCUUCGGGGCUGGUUCACAGGUGGUGCAUGGUUGUCGUCAGCUCGUGUCGUGAGAUGUUGGGUUAAGUCCCGCAACGAGCGCAACCCUCGUUCCAUGUUGCCAGCACGUAGUGGUGGGGACUCAUGGGAGACUGCCGGGGUCAACUCGGAGGAAGGUGGGGACGACGUCAAAUCAUCAUGCCCCUUAUGUCUUGGGCUUCACGCAUGCUACAAUGGCCGGUACAAUGGGUUGCGAUACUGUGAGGUGGAGCUAAUCCCAAAAAGCCGGUCUCAGUUCGGAUUGGGGUCUGCAACUCGACCCCAUGAAGUCGGAGUCGCUAGUAAUCGCAGAUCAGCAACGCUGCGGUGAAUACGUUCCCGGGCCUUGUACAC
rnacentral:rRNA from 1 species